UUGAAGGUUGAUCGUGAGGACAGCUGGACUGCAUACAAGUGAGAAUGCCGGUAUGAGUAACGAAAAGAUCAGUGAGAAUCUGAUCCGCCGAAAGCCCAAGGUUUCCUGAGGAAGGCUCGUCCGCUCAGGGUAAGUCGGGACCUAAGGCGAGGCCGACAGGCGUAGUCGAAGGACAACAGGUUGAUAUUCCUGUACCACCGUAAUCCGUUAUGAGCGAUGGGGGGACGCAGGAGGGUAGUGACGCGGACUGAUGGAUGUCCGUCCAAGCAGUGAGGCUGGUGUGUAGGCAAAUCCGCACAUCAUAAGGCCAGGCUGUGAUGGGGAGCGAAAAUUACAGUAGCGAAGGUCAUGAUCUCACACUGCCAAGAAAAGCCUCUAGCCAGGAGAAGGUGCCCGUACCGCAAACCGACACAGGUAGGCGAGAAGAGAAUUCUAAGGCGCGCGGAAGAACUCUCGUUAAGGAACUCGGCAAAAUGACCCCGUAACUUCGGGAGAAGGGGUGCCUCGGUAGGGUGAAUAGCCCGAGGGGGCCGCAGUGAAAAGGCCCAAGCGACUGUUUAGCAAAAACACAGGUCUGUGCGAAGCCGCAAGGCGAAGUAUACGGGCUGACGCCUGCCCGGUGCUGGAAGGUUAAGGGGAGCGGUUAGG
rnacentral:rRNA from 1 species